GACGAACGUUGGCGGCGUGCUUAAUACAUGCAAGUCAACUGAAGCAGUGGUAGCAAUAUCGCUGUGGAGGUGGCGCACGGGUGAGUAACACGUAGGUAAUCUGCCUUCAGGUCUGGCAUAACUCCGGGAAACCGGGGCUAAUAGCAGCUGAUGCAGCGGCUCGACAUCGAGACAGUUGUUAAAGCUAUGGCGCCUGAAGAUGAGCCUGCGCCUGAUUAGCUAGUUGGCGGGGUAACGGCCCACCAAGGCAACGAUCAGUAGCUGGUCUGAGAGGAUGAUCAGCCACACUGGAACUGAGACACGGUCCAGACUCCUACGGGAGGCAGCAGUAAGGAAUAUUGCGCAAGGGGGGAAAUCCUGAAGCAGCAACGCGGCGUGAGGGACGAAGGGCUUUUGCUUGUAAACCUCUGUAGUGAGAGAAAAAAAUCCCAAUCUUUGGGACAUGAUGGUAUCUCAAAAGUAAGCCCCGGCUAACUACGUG
rnacentral:rRNA from 1 species